CCUACGGGAGGCAGCAGUGGGGAAUAUUGCACAAUGGGCGCAAGCCUGAUGCAGCAACGCCGCGUGAGGGACGACGGCCUUCGGGUUGUAAACCUCUUUUAGUAGGGAAGAAGCGAAAGUGACGGUACCUGCAGAAAAAGCACCGGCUAACUACGUGCCAGCAGCCGCGGUAAUACGUAGGGUGCAAGCGUUAUCCGGAAUUAUUGGGCGUAAAGAGCUCGUAGGCGGUUUGUCGCGUCUGCUGUGAAAACUGGAGGCUCAACCUCCAGCCUGCAGUGGGUACGGGCAAACUAGAGUGCGGUAGGGGAGAUUGGAAUUCCUGGUGUAGCGGUGGAAUGCGCAGAUAUCAGGAGGAACACCGAUGGCGAAGGCAGAUCUCUGGGCCGUAAACUGACGCUGAGGAGCGAAAGCAUGGGGAGCGAACAGGAUUAGAUACCCUGGUAGUCCAUGCCGUAAACGUUGGGCGCUAGGAUGUGGGGACCAGUUCCACGGUUUUCCGUGUCGCAGCUACGACAUAGCGCCCGCCGUCGGGAGGUACGGCCGCGAGGACGUAAACGUAACGAAAGUUAAAGUUAGUACGGCGUUGAGAGNGCGAGGACGACGACGAGGGAGAGG
rnacentral:rRNA from 1 species